CGACUUUCGUUUCCAGUCUUCUUUUUUUGUUUUUUGUUUUUUUUUUUUUUUUGAUUUUUUUGAAUAUUUGUUGAUUAAAGGAAAAAGGGGGGGUUCCCUCUUUUUCUAACUGAAAAAAAUAAAAAAAAGAUUUGAUUGAAGCAUUUUUUGCUUCAAUCCGCGGAACGAUAGACUCUGGUGGAGUUUUGGAUUCAUAUGAAGGAUAUGGGGAUAUAAUAAAGAAGACACUAAAAGAAAAUGAAAAAGAAAGAGAAGAAAUUCAGACUUAUAAUGAAUAUAUGUAGUAUACAUAGAAAUUAGAAGAAUUUUUCUUAAUCUCACGAACAAGAUCUAAGAAUCACAUUACUUACUGGAAUAAGAAUGGGAAUAGCACACGUUUGAACU